UUACGGCCAUAUAACGCUGAAACAUUGGUUCCCAUACGAUCACCGAAGUUAAGAAACGUCGAGCUCGGUUAGUACCUAGAUGGGUGACCCCUUGAUAAUAUCAGGUGGUGUAA